rnacentral:lncRNA from 1 species
AUGAUGUGUGUGGCAACUGAAUAUCAACCCUCACUUGAAUUUCUCCAAGUAUAUUACAAAGGUCAUGUGUCUGCUCUUGAGGAAACUGAUGUGAGAGCUGAAAGGAGUACACGAGUGUCCCCUUUUCAUUCUGAACCUGGACCACCAAACGUAUCUCCGAUUGCCCAGCUCCAGGUGAUGGGAAAUAAACACUACUAGGUUGGCAGCAGCUCAGCUGCAAGCAACGGCUAAGGCAAAAGUGUGCAGUGGCUUGAGAGGCAAAUUCAGAGUCCUUCCUCUCUGGAUCUAGAAGACGGACUUUCUGCAGUGGCUUGUGUGACCAUUAAAUGGAAAUUAUGGCACUUUGUGUACUUAUAAAAUGGUGAUUUUCCAUGGCUGUUAGGAAAACUUCUGUAUCAAAGCUUUCAGUGAUGACAUUUCUAACAUGAAAUAAUGGAAACAAAUCAGCAUUUUCUCGUUAGGGGAACCUGUGAAAAACUUCAUGGAUUCAGAUUGGACCUGCACGAUCUACAGAGAAC